UUUUUAAUGCCACCCACUUUGAUGGAAGAUUGUGUUGAAAUUAUUUAUGUACAGUGUGUACGAUAAGGCAGCAUAUUACAUUAGUCAACCAAUCACAUCUGACUCAUAUUGUCCUCAUGAGAAGCACAUACCUAAAUGAUCAUGGUGUUAGUGUAGGGAAUGAAGCCACUUCUAUCAAUUCCCUUCCACAAGUGCACGCACUUCUGUGUCACUUCCCUCAUGAUUAUUAACAAGACGCACUCUUAACACCAUUUCAUCUACCAUCAGCCAACCCGAUUCACCCUCCAUUUACAGCCUCUGCAAUCCUAACAACUCUACUCUGUCAUCGCCUGCCCCUAUAACUUGACAUUCCCAUCUUCACCAACCUAAUUCCACCAUCAACCUAAUGACACCCUUUCCUUCUGUUAGAAAUCAAUCAAAAGUGCAUAUGUUACUAGGUUAAAAUAAUAAUGAAAUUUCAUUUUAGAAUGGUUUAAACUGAAGUCUGAGAUGAGAUUUAAGAAAAAUCAGAGUAGAAAUAAAUAGGUAAAAAGAGAUAUAGGAAAAUGAUGUCCUAAUCUAAUCAUCAACUUUAGAGUUUUGUCUGCUUUUUAGGAUCAUCUACUUAACAUAUGAAAUUCAGCUUUAAUGAAUAUUCACGCUUUGACUGGAGAACUAGUUAUUUGUUGAGAUUAACCUUAAUGAGCUGCAGCUAAUGACUGGGGCUCCGAAAAGGUGGUGGCAGCAGUAGUCAACAGCUAUAAAAAUGAUGGUGAAGGAAUUAAGUGGUAUGCUAGUAACGGGGAACCAAAUGGUUGGCCACUUGGCCAUGGUGAGUAUUGAAUCAGAGGGUGAUGGUGAAAACUUGAUGGUGUGUGGAUUGAGAAAAGUUUGGUGGUGACCAUGGGAAACAGAGGUGGCUGCAUUUUAUGGGGUUAAUAUGUCUAGCUGGUUUACUUUUUAUUUUAUUGAAAUUAAAAUAUUCUUGAUUAAUUAGUUUUCUCCAAGCCUUUUUUGCUGAUGCAGACACAUUUCAAUAUCUGUUUAGCAUUUGUUUUACUUUUUCUAUCGACAUUGUUUCGCUACACAUACUGCACAUG
rnacentral:lncRNA from 1 species